rnacentral:rRNA from 1 species
UAGGGAAUCUUCGGCAAUGGACGGAAGUCUGACCGAGCAACGCCGCGUGAGUGAAGAAGGUUUUCGGAUCGUAAAGCUCUGUUGUAAGAGAAGAACGAGUGUGAGAGUGGAAAGUUCACACUGUGACGGUAUCUUACCAGAAAGGGACGGCUAACUACGUGCCAGCAGCCGCGGUAAUACGUAGGUCCCGAGCGUUGUCCGGAUUUAUUGGGCGUAAAGCGAGCGCAGGCGGUUAGAUAAGUCUGAAGUUAAAGGCUGUGGCUUAACCAUAGUACGCUUUGGAAACUGUUUAACUUGAGUGCAAGAGGGGAGAGUGGAAUUCCAUGUGUAGCGGUGAAAUGCGUAGAUAUAUGGAGGAACACCGGUGGCGAAAGCGGCUCUCUGGCUUGUAACUGACGCUGAGGCUCGAAAGCGUGGGGAGCAAACAGGAUUAGAUACCCUGGUAGUCCACGCCGUAAACGAUGAGUGCUAGGUGUUAGGCCCUUUCCGGGGUUUAGUGCCGCAGCUAACGCAUUAAGCACUCCGCCUGGGGAGUACGACCGCAAGGUUG